GGAGAUCAUCUUCACCUGUCUUGGGAAGCACUGAAGAGCAACCACCAUCAGCUCCUCCUCGGGAUGUGAGGGUGAUGGCAGUGUCCUCGUCAGCACUGCGAGUCAGCUGGGAGCCACCACCUCACAAUUCCACACAUGGUACCUUGCUUGGUUACCACCUGGGAUAUAAGUUGGCCAGUGAAGCUGAAGGGCCU